rnacentral:rRNA from 1 species
CGGUCCCGCCUUAACUGGCCGCCGGGGGGCUCACGCCCCCGGGCCCGCGCCCGCCGAAGCACCCUCGAACUCUGUCCGAAGAUUGUAGUCUGAGUGAAAAUAUAAAUUAUUUAAAACUUUCAACAACGGAUCUCUUGUUCCGGCAUCGAUGAAGAACGCAGCGAAAUGCGAUACGUAAUGUGAAUUGCAAUAUAAAUUAAUCAUCGAGUCUUUGCACGCACAUUGCGCCCCCUGGUAUUCCGGGGGGCAUGCCUGUCCGAGCGUCAUUGCUGCCCUCAAGCCCGGCUUGUGUGUUGGGCCCCGUCCUCCGAUCCCGGGGGACGGGUCCGAAAGGCAGCGGCGGCACCGCGUCCGGUCCUCGAGCGUAUGGGGCUUUGUCUCGAGCGUAGUAGGCCCGGCCGGCGCUUGCCGAUAACCCAAAUUUUUAUCCAGGUUGACCUCGGAUCAGGUAGGGAUACCCGCUGAACUUAAGCAUAUCAAUAGGCCGGGAGGAAAGGAAGUAUUCGUGGAAACAUUUUACCUCCCCAGGCUCCCGGAUAUGGGGGUCGGGGUAAACAAAUCUGGUUGUGCAUGAA